GUGAGAGUAGCUCAGUUGGCAGAGCGCCACCUUGCCAAGGUGGAGGCCGCGGGAUCGUGACCCGUCUCUCGCUCCA
rnacentral:tRNA from 1 species